AUCUUCUGCGCAUCCUCGCGACUAAUGACAACCCUAACCCAGCUCUAUGUGGGUAAAGCCUCUCAUUAGCCGCGCGAACCUCUGCAACGGAAGAUCAUUCAUAGCAACAAUACAUUAGUUUCCAGUGAAUUGCUGCCGUCAGCUUGAAAAAAGGGGCCACUCAGGCCCCCUUUU
rnacentral:sRNA from 22 species